GGAUUGGAAGCGGAGCUCCUAUCAUUCCAAUGAAGGGUCGUUUCGGUGGGUUGGUACAGCUGCUCGUUCAUGGUUCCCACUAUCCUAUCUCAUCACCUGGAGGUUUAUCUUAGAGAGAGAGAGAGAGUUGAGUGGUCUGGUGUUUGCUUGAGAUAGGCUUGUGGCUUGCAUGACCGAGGAGCUGCACCGUCCCCGUGCUGGCCGCUCUUUGGAUUGAAGGGAGCUCUGCAUCUUGAUCCC
rnacentral:pre_miRNA from 2 species